ensembl:lncRNA
UCUGUGUCUCUGGCGUAUCUGACUGGUACACGAAGGCACACACAGGUUGUGUCUCUAAAGAAGAAGGCAGAGCGACUGGAGUCAGCCCUACAAGAGCAGCAGCAGCAACUUCUCACUGUGCAAGUUCAGGCCAACCAUGCCAACGAAUUAGCCAAAAUACAUUCUCUUCAGCAGCAGGUUGACUGUGCCCAAACCAGCGUGGAUAACCUUGUGCUAAAUAUCAACAGCAGUGAAGACAUCCCGCAGGAUCAAAAGCUGCUGAAACAAAAAAAGGCAGAUCCCCAUCUUUUUGUAAACACUCAGUCGCAUGACUCCUUUAUGACAGCGGAUGAAGAGCCACAGACGAUAAAGUACGAAGAAAACGCACCACAAAAGGAGUGUAUUAACUGUCAACAAGCAAUGAAAACUCUGCUGUCCUCCCAAGAGGAGUGUGAGGCACUUAAAAAGGAGAUCUGCGAAACCCUGAAAUGCAUUGAUGAGGAGCGAAGCAAAUUCCACAAGAUGAAGCAAAAACACAAGGCCAAACUUUGCAGAGCCAAACAGAAAUUUGAAGAUGAAACCACAUGGCGUGAUGAGAAGAUAAAAAGUCUAGAGAGAGAAUUGUCCUUGUGCUGUCAUUCAGUAGCAAAGGAGAAGGAGCUUGUCAUAAGCAUAACUGUGGAAAAUGAGAAACUACUCUCUGAGAGGAGGAAGCUACUGCAACAGCUAAACGAGGAGGAGCACAAGAAGAAGGAUAGUUGUCUAAAAGCUUCUUUAUCCAAAUGCAGGGUGGAACUUUUAGAGCUGGAAAACAAGAAACUCGGAAACCAAAUAUCACAAAUGUCCAACCAGCUCGCUGUCCUGGAGUUCAGCCUGCAGAAGACACAGCUGCUUCACUUUGCUGAGAAACUUAAGAAAAUGCCAGAUGACCAGCAAGUUUUCAAGUCUCUUCCUCAGCAGUCUUCAAGUGUGAUUUCACCCGAGCUGUCUGAAGCUCAGGGCUUGUUGGAUGGUACACUUAGAGGUCACUCCAAGCAGACAGAUGGGACUUGUUACAGUCAUGCGUCUGAGAUUUUGUGUCAGUCAGCAGAUAUGAGCUACCUGAACCUGACCUCCACACAAAAAAACCACUUGGACCGCUCACCUCCCCUGGCUGCCCUCAGCAGCCUUGAAAAUCUGCCUUCCUGAAGUUUUCUGUUUUGAGUGUGAUCAUGAACUAUUUUAUUUGUAUGUUAAAUUAAUAAAUAAGAUACAAAAUGGGUUUGAAUUUCAUUAAAUCAAAUUAAACCAGCC